GAUGAACGCUGGCGGCAUGCCUAAUACAUGCAAGUCGAGCGAACGGACGAGAAGCUUGCUUCUCUGAUGUUAUCGGCGGACGGAUGCGUCACACGUGGAUAACCUACCUAUCAGACUGGGAUGACUUCGGGAAACCGGAGCUAAUACCGGAUGAUAUUUUGAACCGCAUGGUUCCAAAGUUGAAGAAGGUCUUGCUUUCGGUUAUAGAUGGAUCCGCGCUUCAUUGGCUAGUUGGUAAGGUAACGGCUUACCAAGGCAACGAGGGAUAGCCGACCUCAGAGGGUGAUCGGCCACACGGGAACUGAGACACGGCACAGACUCCGACGGGAGGCAGCAGUAGGGACUCUUACGCGAUGGGCGAAAGCGGGACGGAGCAAAGCCGCGUGAGUGAUGAAGGUGUUCGGAUGGGAGAACUAUGUUAGUAGGGAAGAACAUAUGCGCAAGUAACUGUGAACAUCUUGACGGUACCUAGUCAGAAAGCCACGGCUAACUACGUG
rnacentral:rRNA from 1 species